AUGGAUCACAAUGCCGACGAGACAGAUGCUCUAUUCACCGGCGAAGCCAUGAUGGUAUCCCCCGCACGCUCAACUGCCACUACCGUCAUCCCCGCUUAUCCAUCCACUCUCAGGCCUAUGACAAUUAAGCAGUUGUAUGAUGGAUUCCUGGAGGACAUAGAGCGUUACCCUAUCGUAGUUGACGGAGACACCGUGUCAUCAGUGAUCCUGAUAGGAACUGUUUCACACUCUACUGUUCGAAUGAAUCACUGGUCCUUCGAUCUACAGGAUGCCACAGGGUCGGAAACAACUUCCGACUUUAAACUUGCUUGGUCAUCAAGCAAUGGCGACUAUGUUCAACUAUUUGGCAAACCUGCCAUGAAUGACAGAUUCCUUCAGAUUAAAUCUUUCAAGAUCAGGUUAAUCGAAAACUACAAUGACACCACACACCACUACUUGUAUACCAUACACACCACAUUAGACAUUCGUAAGAGAAACACCCACAAGGCAAGAAUGGAACCUGACUCCACAGCAUCAACUGUUUUCCCAAAGGGGCCGUCAAUUACCCCGUCGGAGGUGCCCUUGCAUUCGUCAACAAAGGACAAGAUAGUUGCCAUCCUGCGAGACCCAUCUUACCGCGAUAUUCAGCAUGGCGUUAGCUUGAAGUUAAUCCGUAGUGCACUGGACAUCAGCCAGGACGAGAUAAUGCAAGUCAUUACGGAGCAAAUCUACAUUGGGAUGAUAUACACAACUAUUGAUGACAACCACUUCAAGUCCUCCAUCUGA
rnacentral:rRNA from 1 species